rnacentral:rRNA from 1 species
ACUCCUACGGGAGGCAGCAGUGGGGAAUAUUGCACAAUGGGCGCAAGCCUGAUGCAGCAACGCCGUGUGAGUGAAGAAGGUUUUCGGAUCGUAAACUCUGUCCUAAGGGAAGAAAAAAUGACGGUACCUUAGGAGGAAGCCCGGCUAACUACGUGCCAGCAGCCGCGGUAAUACGUAGGGGGCAAGCGUUUAUCCGGAAUCACUGGGCGUAAAGGGUGCGUAGGCGGCUUAGCAAGCCAGGGGUGAAAGGCAUUGGCUCAACCAAUGUAAGCCUUUGGAACUGUUAAGCUUGAGUGCAGGAGAGGUAAGUGGAAUUCCUAGUGUAGAGGUGAAAUUCGUAGAUAUUAGGAGGAACACCAGUGGCGAAGGCGACUUACUGGACUGUAACUGACGCUGAUGCACGAAAAGCGUGGGUAGCGAACAGGAUUAGAUACCCUGGUAGGUCAGUC